rnacentral:rRNA from 1 species
UGGGGAAUAUUGCACAAUGGGCGCAAGCCUGAUGCAGCAACGCCGCGUGAGGGACGACGGCCUUCGGGUUGUAAACCUCUUUUAGUAGGGAAGAAGCGAAAGUGACGGUACCUGCAGAAAAAGCACCGGCUAACUACGUGCCAGCAGCCGCGGUAAUACGUAGGGUGCGAGCGUUGUCCGGAAUUAUUGGGCGUAAAGAGCUCGUAGGCGGUCUGUCGCGUCUGCUGUGAAAACCCGAGGCUCAACCUCGGGGCCUGCAGUGGGUACGGGCAGACUAGAGUGCGGUAGGGGAGAAUGGAAUUCCUGGUGUAGCGGUGGAAUGCGCAGAUAUCAGGAGGAACACCGAUGGCGAAGGCAGUUCUCUGGGCCGUAACUGACGCUGAGGAGCGAAAGCGUGGGGAGCGAACAGGAUUAGAUACCCUGGUAGUCCACGCCGUAAACGUUGGGCGCUAGAUGUGGGGACCAUUCCACGGUUUCCGUGUC